GCCGCGGGCCCUGCGCAUGCGCCGUGCGUGGAGCGCCGCUGCUGGCUCUGCUUUGGCAGCGGUACCGGAUUUUGUGUUUGGAAAUGCAGGCCUCACAAAAUGAAUUGAGAAGUGUUCCUUUAUUUUCUAAUUUCUGAAAGGUGUCCUGGAACUUCUCUGCUAGACUCCUGGGGACUGGAGCUGGCUUAUAGGGUCACUACAGGGUCCACAGCCAGGACUGAGGUCCAUAUGCCUAUUAUUCAACACAUGGGUGGCCGAGACUCCUCCUGGAUCCCUUGGAGUGUGGUGCUGGAUCCCACAGGUCCCAUGAACACUUUUUUGGUAGGUGAAAAGCAAAUUGCUGGUGGGGGGAGGUACAAGUGAGAAAUGUCUUCUUCAGUCAUUUUGCUUUUUUUUUUUUUCCUUUGGGAAAACUCCCCACUGUCUUCCUGCAUGAUUUCUGAGAAGUUGGCUGUAAUUCUUACCUUUGCUUCUUUAUAAUAAGGUGUUUUUUUGUUUGUUUUUUUGUUUGUUUGUAUUUUUUUUGGCCCCCUCUGGCUCUUUUUCAAGUUUUUUUUUCUUUUUUUUUUUUUUUAGUUAUUAUUUUUUUUAUUUAAGUGUAAUUGAUUUACAAUGUUGUGCCAAUUUCUACUGUACAGCUAGGUGACCCAGUCAUAUAUCUACAUAUAUACACAUUAUUUUUCUCAUAUUAUCUUCCAAUAUGUUCUAUCACAAGAGAUUGGAUAUAGUUCCCUGUGCCAUACAGUGUAGGGCAUUGUUGCUUAGCCACUUUAAAUAUAAUCAAGAUUUUUUUUAGGGCCACACCCAGGGCAUAUGGAGGUUCCCAGGCUAGGGGUCCAUUUGGAGCUGUAGCCACCGGUGUACGCCAGAGCCACAGCAACGCGGGAUCUGAGCUGUGUCUGCAACCUACACCACAGCUCACAGCAACGCUGGAUCGUUAACCCACUGAGCAAGGGCAGGGAUCAAACUCGCAACCUCAUGGUUCCUAGUCGGAUUCGUUAACCACUGCGCCACGACGGGAACUCCCAACUCUAAAAUUAUAUGCAGAUAAUCAACUUCACAAAGCUGUCAGCACCCCUAAUCCCUGUGUUGUUCAAGAAUUGAUUAUAGUUGUCCCUUAGUUCUUGAUAUUCUGUUGUGUUUUUUUCCUGUUUUUGUUUUCUCUUUGCAUUUCAGUUUUGAAAGUUUCUACUGCGAUAUCCUCAAGCUCAGGUUUUCUUCCCUCAGUUGUAUCUUUAUUUCUGUUCCCCUGUUUUUGACCCCUAGCAUUUCUUUUUGAUUCUUUCCUAGAAUUUUCAUCUGUCUCUCUGCUUACAUUGCCCAUCUGUUCUUGCAUGUUGUCUACUUUGUACUAGAGCCUUUAUCGCAUUAAUUACAGUUGUUUUAAAUUCCUGGACAGAUAAUUCCAAUAUCCUCGCCACAUCUGAGUCUGGUUCUGAUGCUUGCUCUGUCUUUCAAACUGUCUUUUACCUUUUAGAAUAACUUGUAAUUUUUUUGGUGUGCUAGCCAUCCACGAUUCAGUCUGUGCUAUAGAAUGAAUGUGUGUGUUCACCAAAUUCAAUAUCCACCCCCAAAAUGUUGAAACCAGUGUGGUGGUAUUUGGAGGCAGGGCCUUUGAGGGUGAUUAGAUCAUGAGGGUAAAGCCCCUCACAAAUAGGACUAGUGCUUUUAUAAAAGAGAUCCCGGGGAGCUCUCUUGACCCUUUUGCCAUGUGAGGACACAGCCAGAAGAGAGUUUUCUGUGAACCAGGAAGUGGGCUCUUACCAGAUACUGAAUCUGCUGGCACCUUGAUCUUGGACUUUCUAGCCUCCAAAACUCUGAGAAAUAGUUUCUGUUGUUUGUAAGCCAGCCAGUCAAUGGUGUAUUUGUUAUAGCAGCCCAAAUGGACUAAGACAUGCUGGGUGAAAGUAACUGUUUUAAAUAGGACUUUAGGAGUUCCCAUUGUGGUGCAGUGGAAACGAAUCUGAAUAGUAUCCAAGAGGAUUUGGGUUUAAUCCCUGGCCUCGCUUAGUGGGUUGGGGAUCUGGCAUUGCUGUGAGCUGUGGUAUAGGUUGCAGAUGUGGCUCAGAUCCUGUGUUGCUGUGGCUGUGGUGUAGGCCAACAGCCGUAGCUCCUAUUCAACCCUAGCCUGGGAACCUCCAUAUGCUACAGGUGCAGCCCUAAAGAAGAAGAAAAAAAAAAGACUUCAGUGGAGUUCCUGCUGUGACUCAGCAUGUUGAGAACCACCAUUAUCUCUCUUAGGAUACAGGUUUGAUCCCUGGUCUCAUUCAGUGGGUUAAGUGGGUUAAGAAUCCAGCAUUGCUGCAAGCUGCUGCAUAGGUCACAGAUGUGGCUCAGAUCUGGUGUUGCUGUGGUUGUGGCAUAGCCCAGCAGCUGCAGCUCCCAUUCAGCCCUUGGCCCAGGAACUUCCAUAUACUACAAAUGUGGCCAUAAAAGAAAACAAAAAACAAACAAAAAACAGGACUUUAGUAAUGUGGCAGUAAGUUAUGGGGAGAAGGGAAGUAUUCUUUUGUCCUAAUGAUUAGGUCUCAGUCUUAGGUGAGCCUAUGCCUCUGAACCGUGAACUUCAUACACUCUUCUCAGCCCUCCGACCUCCUCCUAGGUAAGGCCUUAUGGCUCAAGUGGGAUGAAGUUGAGUAUUUACCUACCCCAGAUGUGUUAGACUCUGAUAAAACUCCAAUAGUUUAUGCCCUGCCAAAAUAAUUUCUCUUGAGGGUAGGCCUUUUUAAGAAUAGGAUGCUCUGGCUUUUUCACAAUGGUUCCCAUUCCUCUCCCCCUGCUGGAAGCAUAAAGGUAUUUCCCCCAAAGUCACUAUGAGAACCUGGUAGGUCUCCUACUAGAGUUAAAAACCCUCGAAGUAUCAGGACCGUUUCUGUGCCUGGAUCUCCCUGGAGGUUUUAACUAUCAGAAUUGUCCACACUGAGCUUCCAGAAAUUCAACACUGACAAUUUUGGUGUUCCUACCCUGGCCUGAGGUUUCGGCUUGUGGGUUUCUGCUCUCCUAAGUUGUGAUUCUUUGUAUUGGUCUGUAUGUCUCUCUAAUUUGGGGAACAGUGGUUUGCCCCAUGACCUCACUUCUCUGACAGAUGGACAAAGAGUUUUUGAUUUUUCCUUUUGUUCAGCUUUUUACUUAUUGUCAGGAUGGAGUGGCAACUUCCAAGCUCCUUAUAUGUUGGACUGGAAACUGGAAGUUCUGUGAUAUCAUUUUAAUGAUAGAAAGAAAUGGAAGGAGUAACAAAGAACUGUUGAAUAAAAAAUACAAUAGUUUAAAAUUCAAAUAUUAUCCUUCUGUAAACUUCAAUUCAAACAUUAUCAAUAUUCAAUUUAAAUAUUAUUCCUCUGUAUGGAGUUUCCAUUAUGGCUCAGCAUUGCUGUGGCUGUGGCAUUGGCCAGCAGCUGCAGCUCUGAAUCAACCCCUAACCUGGGAACUUCCAUGUGCCACAGGUGCGGCCC
rnacentral:lncRNA from 1 species